UCCUGGGUGGCAUAAAUGGUCAUGCAUUUGGCUUCUAGCCAAAAGAUUGGUGGUUCAAAUCCAUCCAGAGGAG
rnacentral:tRNA from 1 species